rnacentral:rRNA from 1 species
UACGUAGGGGGCAAGCGUUGUCCGGAUUUAUUGGGCGUAAAGAGCGUGUAGGCGGCCUGAAAGGUCAGCUGUGAAAACUCGGGGCUCAACCCCCGAGACGUCGGUUGAAACCAUCUGGCUAGAGUCCGGAAGAGGAGUGUGGAAUUCCCGGUGUAGCGGUGAAAUGCGCAGAUAUCGGGAAGAACACCCGUGGCGAAGGCGGCACUCUGGGACGGUACUGACGCUGAGACGCGAAAGCGUGGGGAGCGAACAGG